UACCCAGUAUAAAAAAUUACCGAACAAGCAAAUCGUGAUUGAGUGUGGUAUAGCGUCACUAUGAUUUAUAAGCAUAUUUUGUUCUGAAAAAUUACCCUUAGUUGAUCCAUAACUGUGGGGUGACUGUACCCCAACCAGGCAAGACAAUCGUCACCAUCAAGUAGAAAACGUCGGCGACGAAACUAAAAGAAGCAUCAUCCUCGUCACUCAACCGGCGUCGGAUGACGAUUUGCCGCAGAGAUCCGAUCACAUAUACUACAUAUCACAUACCAGCCAUUCCAUGAAAAACCGAUCUAGUGCACUGCAAAAAUUAUAAUCAUUUUCUAUAUGUGCAUUCACACAUAGUUAUUAGAACUCAACCACACAUUGACUCGAUGGACGACAAAUAUAAUGUGAAUAUUUACUACUAAACGAAAUUAUGUGUGAGUACACAUAGUGAAAAUUUAUGUACUUUUACACAUAACUCGAAUAUGGAAAAUGAACACCAGAAAUUCACUAGCAGAUCUCAAAAGAGGUUGCAUCAGCCAUUUUCCUUUUAGUCGCUACGCUUCUUGAACUCCGCAAAAAAAGUUGAUUUAUGUGCGCUCAUCAAUAGACGUUGGCAGACUUCGGGGGCGUUUCAAAGACCUAUCUGCUCUGAAAAGAUAGGAAUAGAAACCUUUGCUAAGGACUUCUGGAUGCAUGCCAUAAAGCAUUCGCCAACGGCGCAGUAAUUCGUCUGUGGUAGUACUCCGAGUUAAAACCAGGCUGUGGGUCUGACAUCGAGACAAACUUCAGCCGCUGUGAAGUGUCCCCGUUCCAGAAUGGAACACAUUGUGCUAUUUCGAAGAAAUUCCGGUUGUAGUUUGUGGACACUUCUGGUGAUUCCAAUCCAGGCCAACGGGCGGUACAAUGAUCAAUUACUAGAUAGUUUUUAGAUCGAAUCAUCAGUUAGUCAUUAAUUGAAGUAACUACCGCAAUAAAUAAACGUUAUAUUAUGCUAUUAAAA